rnacentral:sRNA from 1 species
GAAUCAGUGCGUGAGUGACCAGCUAGGACUGAGCCCAAAGACCUGAGAGUCCCUGGGAGGCUGUGGGGUCUGCCACCCAGCAGAUCUGUGUCACGGGAGUGGCGCUGUCACUCAUUGAGGUGGCCUGGUUCCUCUGGCCUUAGGGAAGGACAAACUUCAACUCUGAGACUUGAUUGAGUGACCUUGGCCAAGUUACCUGGCUUUUCUGAGCCUCACUUUCUUGGCAAUUAGAUGAACCAGAGGUUUAUUUCACUCAGAAUCCUGUUCACGAUGCUGGUAUUUGGACCAGCCUGCGGGUUUAUCCUGGGCUCUUUCUGUACCAAAAUCUACGUGGAUGCGGUCUUCAUUGACACAAGUAACCUGGACAUCACUCCAGACGACCCCCGCUGGAUCGGAGCCUGGUGGGCUGGCUUUCUGCUCUGCGGUGCCUUACUCUUCUUCUCUUCCCUCUUGAUGUUUGGGUUUCCACAGUCCCUGCCCCCGCACUCAGACCCCACCAUGGAAAGUGAGCAGGCCAUGCUCUCCGAAAGAGAAUACGAGAGACCCAAGCCCAGCAACGGGGUCCUGAGGCACCCCCUGGAGCCAGACAGCAGUGCCUCCUGUUUCCAGCAGCU